rnacentral:rRNA from 1 species
AUUGAACGCUGGCGGCAGGCCUAACACAUGCAAGUCGAACGAGGGGCGGACGGGUGAGUAAUGUCUGGGAAACUGCCCGAUGGAGGGGGAUAACUACUGGAAACGGUAGCUAAUACCGCAUACCAUCGGAUGUGCCCAGAUGGGAUUAGCUAGUAGGUGGGGUAACGGCUCACCUAGGCGACGAUCCCUAGCUGGUCUGAGAGGAUGACCAGCCACACGGGAACUGAGACACGGCCCAGACGCCUACGGGAGGCAGCAGUGGGGAAUAUGGCACAAUGGGAGCAAGCCUGAUGCAGCCAUGCCGCGUGUAUGAAGAAGGCGUUAGGGUUGUAAAGUACUUUCAGCGGGGAGGCGUUACUCGCAGAAGAAGCACCGGCUAACUCCGUGCCAGCAGCCGCGGUAAUAC